GCCUCAGUAGCUCAAUAGGUGAAGCAACUGAUCAUCUGACCGCUGGACAAGUGAUUUUCCAGUGAGAUGAAGCACCCUUUCUUGAGAAGAUCAGAAAGCUGGAGGUUCGAGUCCUCUCUGGGGCU
rnacentral:tRNA from 1 species